CGGCUUGGUAAUUGGAAUGAGGGAGAGUUAAACGGACCAUCGAGUAUCCAUUGGAGGGCAAGUCUGGUGCCAGCAGCUGCGGUAAUACCAGCUCCAAUAGCGUAUAUUAAAGUUGUUGCAGUUAAAAAGCUCGUAGUUGGACUUGUGUGCGCUGUCCGCGGGUGGCCUGCGCCCAAAAGGGCGUUUCGGUUCGGCCCCGGUGGCGCCUUGAAAUCUGCAGCGGGGGGGACGUUGGCCUUAACUGGUCGGCGACCGCACGCCGGCUGCUCGGUUACUGUGAGAAAAUUAGAGUGUUCAAGGCAGGCAUUGGGUGCAAUUGAAUACAUUAGCAUGGAAUAAUAAAAUAUGGCUCCUGCCGUAUUUUGUUGGUUUUGACUGGUGGGAGUAAUGAUUGAUAGGGACGGUUGGGGGUGCUAGUAUUGAGCGGCCAGAGGUGAAAUUCAUGGAUUCGCUCAAGACUAACUUAUGCGAAAGCAUUCACCAAGGACGUCCUCUUUAAUCAAGAACGAAAGUUGGGGGAUCGAAGACGAUCAGAUACCGUCGUAGUCUCAACCAUAAACUAUGUCGACUUGGGAUCGGCGGUAGUUUUUUCAUUAAGACACUGUCGGGACCACGGGAGAAAUCAAAGUGUCUGGACUCUGGGGGAAGUAUGGUCGCAAGGCUGAAACUUGAAGGAAUUGACGGAAGGGCACCACCAGGAGUGGAGCCUGCGGCUUAAUUUGACCCAACACGGGGAAACUUACCAGGUCCAGAGAUGUAGAGGAUUGACAGAUUGAAGCUCUUUCUUGAUCACUUCGGUGGUGGUGCAUGGCCGUUCUUAGUUGGUGGAGUGAUUUGUCUGGUUAAUUCCGUUAACGAACGAGACCUCAGCCUGCUAGUGUAGUCGGCUGGAUUGCCUUUGGCGAUCCGUGAUUUCGACUUCUUAGAGGGACAAUCGACGCGCAGUCGAUGGAAGUUUGAGGCAAUAACAGGUCUGCGAUGCCCUUAGAUGUUCUGGGCCGCACGCGCGCUACACUGCUGGGCUCAGCGAGUUUUACUUGGCCGAGAGGCCCGGUUAAUCUUGUGAAAUCCCAGCGUGCUUGGGCUCGCCUCCUGCAACUGGAGGCGCCAACGAGGAAUUCCUAGUAGACGCAGGUCAUCAACCUGCAUCGAUUACGUCCCUGCCCUUUGUACACACCGCCCGUCGUUCCAUAAGAGUGAGGCAUCCGGUGAAUUCUCGGGAGAGCCUGGGCGUGGCCAGCAAUGGUCUGCUCGAGUUUGAACUUGCAUAAACUUGGUGCCUAUGAUUAGGG
rnacentral:rRNA from 1 species